rnacentral:rRNA from 1 species
CCCUUAGAUGUUCUGGGCCGCACGCGCGCUACACUGAUUCAUUCAUCAAGUCUAUAACCUUGGUAGAAAUGCUUGGGUAAUCUUUGAAACUGAAUCGUGCUGGGGAUUGGAGCUUGUAAUUAUUCUCCAUGAACGAGGAAUUCCUAGUAAACGCGAGUCAUCAGCUCGCAUUGAUUACGUCCCUGCCCUUUGUACACACCGCCCGUCGCACCUACCGAUUGAACGGUUUAGUGAGGGCCUCGGAUUGGUCUCGGCCCGCUCUUUACCGGGCGGCGCCGUUGGUCGAGAAGACGCUCGAACUUGAUCGUUUAGAGGAAGUAAAAGUCGUAACA